GAUGAACGCUGGCGGCGUGCCUAAUACAUGCAAGUCGAGCGAACAGACGAGGAGCUUGCUCCUCUGACGUUAGCGGCGGACGGGUGAGUAACACGUGGAUAACCUACCUAUAAGACUGGGAUAACUUCGGGAAACCGGAGCUAAUACCGGAUAAUAUAUUGAACCGCAUGGUUCAAUAGUGAAAGACGGUUUUGCUGUCACUUAUAGAUGGAUCCGCGCUGCAUUAGCUAGUUGGUAAGGUAACGGCUUACCAAGGCAACGAUGCGUAGCCGACCUGAGAGGGUGAUCGGCCACACGGGAACUGAGACACGGUCCAGACUCCUACGGGAGGCAGCAGUAGGGAAUCUUCCGAAAUGGGCGAAAGCCUGACGGAGCAACGCCGCGUGAGUGAUGAAGGUCUUCGGAUCGUAAAACUCUGUUAUUAGGGAAGAACAAAUGUGUAAGUAACUGUGCACAUCUUGACGGUACCUAAUCAGAAAGCCACGGCUAACUACGUG
rnacentral:rRNA from 1 species